CUCCGCGCCGGUGAGGACGGGGCAGGCGGGCGGCUCGCUGCGGCGGCGCCGACAUGGCUGCGCUGGUGGAGCCGCUAGGGCUGGAGCGGGACGUGUCCCGGGCCGUGGAGCUCCUCGAGCGGCUGCAACGCAGCGGGGAGCUGCCCCCGCAGAAGCUGCAGGCGCUCCAGCGAGUCCUGCAAAGCCGCUUCUGCUCCGCCAUCCGCGAGGUGUACGAGCAGCUCUAUGACACGCUGGACAUCACCGGCAGUGCCGAGAUCCGAGCUCACGCCACGGCCAAGGCCACAGUGGCCGCCUUCACAGCCAGCGAGGGCCAUGCACAUCCCAGGGUAGUGGAGCUGCCCAAGACCGACGAGGGGCUGGGCUUCAACAUCAUGGGUGGCAAAGAGCAGAACUCACCCAUCUACAUCUCCCGGGUCAUUCCUGGAGGCGUGGCUGAUCGCCAUGGAGGCCUCAAGCGCGGGGACCAGCUGCUGUCUGUGAAUGGUGUGAGUGUGGAGGGUGAGCAGCACGAGAAGGCCGUGGAGCUGCUGAAGGCCGCCCAGGGCUCCGUGAAGCUGGUGGUGCGCUACACCCCGCGAGUGCUGGAGGAGAUGGAGGCUCGCUUCGAGAAGAUGCGCUCCGCCCGCCGGCGCCAACAGCACCAGAGCUACUCGUGAGCCCAUGGCCAUCACACCCCUGGGGUCUCCACCGAUCCCCCUAGCCCCAGACCCUCAAAGCAGGUCCUUGGAGUCUCGAGGAUGAAACCCCAGAUCUGGACCCUUUUUCUUUCCCUCUCCCCAGUACAGUAUUUGUUGCCACUGGCUCUCUAUUUAAAGAUCUUUGACCCUCA